rnacentral:rRNA from 1 species
AUUGAACGCUGGCGGCAGGCUUAACACAUGCAAGUCGAGCGAGCGGCGGACGGGUGAGUAAUGUCUGGGAAACUGCCUGAUGGAGGGGGAUAGCUACUGGAAACGGUAGCUAAUACCUCAUACCAUCAGAUGUGCCCAGAUGGGAUUAGCUAGUAGGUGGGGUAAUGGCUCACCUAGGCGACGCUCCCUAGCUGGUCGGAGAGGAUGACCAGCAACACUGGAACGGAGCCACGGUCCAGACGCCUCCGGGAGGAACCAGUGGGGAAGAUGGCACAAUGGGCGCAAGCCUGAUGCAGCCAUGCCGCGGGUGUGAAGAAGGCCUUCGGGUUGUAAAGCACUUUCAGCGAGGAGGCGUUACUCGCAGAAGAAGCACCGGCUAACUCCGUGCCAGCAGCCGCGGUAAUUC